rfam:Candidatus Omnitrophica bacterium 4484_70.2 ex4484_70.2_scaffold_619, whole genome shotgun sequence.
GGCGGUGUAGCCAAGGGGGAAGGCAGUGGUCUGCAAAACCACUAUUCAGCGGUUCAAAUCCGCUCGCCGCCU